UCUCCGUUGGUGAACCAGCGGAGGGAUCAUUAAAGAGUUACCCAACUCACCAAAAACCAUGUGAACUUACCUAUGUUGCCUCGGCGGGGAACCUGCCCGGAAGCUACCCUACAGUAGCAUACCCGGUACCUACUCGGUAACUACCCCGUAGUUGUAGGCUUACCCGCCGGCGGACCAUUCAAACUCUUGAUUUUAUACUGGCACUUCUGAAUUAUCAUACUUAAUAAGUUAAAACUUUCAACAACGGAUCUCUUGGUUCUG
rnacentral:misc_RNA from 1 species